UGGAUACCCAACAAUGUGAAGUCAACAGUUUGUGACAUCCCACCAACUGGGCUGAAGAUGGCAUCAACUUUCAUCGGGAACUCGACAUCCAUCCAGGAGAUGUUCAGGAGGGUGAGUGAGCAAUUCACUGCCAUGUUUAGGAGGAAGGCCUUCUUGCAUUGGUACACAGGUGAAGGUAUGGACGAGAUGGAGUUCACUGAGGCUGAGAGCAACAUGAACGAUCUGGUUUCUGAGUACCAGCAGUAUCAAGAUGCAACAGCCGAUGAGGAGGAAUACGAGGAUGAGCAAGGGGAGUAUGAGGAGGAAAUGUAAUUUCUAUCAAGCAGUAGUUUCCUUUGAAUAUCAACUUUCCAGUUAGCGUUUUAUGUAGUAUGUGAAUGAAUUUCUGAUUGAGUGUUUGUGGGACAAGUUUCAAUAUCAACUUCCAGUUGCUGCUUU
rnacentral:lncRNA from 1 species